rnacentral:tRNA from 1 species
GCCAUAGUUUGGUGGUAGAGCAUCUGCUUUGCAUGCAGAAGGUCCCAGGUUCAUUCCCCAAGUAGGGAUG